AUGUUCUCCCGCCACCAUAACCCCGGCAGGAGGAAGUGGUGCUGGGUCCUUGACAGCAUGGCUCUGGCCAGGGCCAGCGCCCGGACCAGUACGGGAGGGAUCCUCAGAGGGCCUUGGGCUGGGCAUUUCCCCAGCCCAUGUCUUGUAAGUCUGAUGGGAGCAGAAGGCCCAGGACUGGGACCAAGGAAAGGGCAUGAUUUCCAUACCCCUUUCUGUCUUCAUACUUGUCCUCUUGUUUGUGGGGGUGAGCUUGGUGCUGGCGAGAAGUCAUCGAAGAUGGUUCAGGAAGGCAUCCUGCUGCUUGACCUGAGGCUACCGGCUCCAUGUCAGCAUCUUCAAUGUGGGAGAAUGACAGUGUCUCCUUCAGAGGCUGGGGCUGUAGCAGCGGCCAGGAAGAAAACCGCCCCCUCUGAAAGUUGUUUUGGUGACUGUUCUUUGGAGCAUUGUUCUAAAAAUGGGAAAUUACAUACUGCCGGGCCAAAGGAAACAAACACCUGCAGUUAAAGGCAUACCUUCCUCGAGGUGGCUUUUAGAGCCCAGCCCGUUCUGGGUGUAGGGCUGCCGCAGGAGUUCCACUUGGUGCAUCUCUUCUUUUCUACGGGGAUCGGGCGUGGGCUUAUAUUUGUAACCAGGGUGGGCUUGGGCAACUACCGGGCUCUGGUGAUUGUCUUUUACUCCUUCAUCCAAUAAACAUCUAUCGAGCAUCUCUGCUGGGUCUGUGUUGGUUUUCACUACUCCCUU
rnacentral:lncRNA from 1 species